UCCUACGGGAGGCAGCAGUGGGGAAUAUUGCACAAUGGGGGAAACCCUGAUGCAGCCAUGCCGCGUGUGUGAAGAAGGCCUUCGGGUUGUAAAGCACUUUCAGCGAGGAGGAAAGGUUGGUAGCUAAUAUCUGUCAGCUGUGACGUUACUCGCAGAAGAAGCACCGGCUAACUCCGUGCCAGCAGCCGCGGUAAUA
rnacentral:rRNA from 1 species